GGAAUAUUGCACAAUGGGCGCAAGCCUGAUGCAGCCAUGCCGCGUGUAUGAAGAAGGCCUUCGGGUUGUAAAGUACUUUCAGCGGGGAGGAAGGCGAUGGGGUUAAUAACCUUAUCGAUUGACGUUACCCGCAGAAGAAGCACCGGCUAACUCCGUGCCAGCAGCCGCGGUAAUACGGAGGGUGCAAGCGUUAAUCGGAAUUACUGGGCGUAAAGCGCACGCAGGCGGUCUGUUAAGUCAGAUGUGAAAUCCCCGGGCUUAACCUGGGAACUGCAUUUGAAACUGGCAGGCUUGAGUCUUGUAGAGGGGGGUAGAAUUCCAGGUGUAGCGGUGAAAUGCGUAGAGAUCUGGAGGAAUACCGGUGGCGAAGGCGGCCCCCUGGACAAAGACUGACGCUCAGGUGCGAAAGCGUGGGGAGCAAACAGGAUUAGAUACCCUUG
rnacentral:rRNA from 1 species